AGACAUGAGGGUACUCUGGCUGCAACAUCUGUCAUUGAUUGCCAGGGUUGAUUUGGCUCAUCUUGCUGGCUAGGUAAGUGCCCCCUUCCUCCCUCACCUCUCCCAAAGCUGUGGCCUUGAUGGAGGAGGAUGACCAUCCCAGAUAGAAUGAGUGUACCAAUCUCUGUGGUCAAGAGUACAUGGUAGCUGCACUCCCCUUCUAAAGCCUCCAAAAAAGCUCAAGCUAUAGGGUUGGAAUCAACAUAAUAUCCUUUUCUGAUUGAUGGGGAGACACAUUUUGCCUUGAGGAAGUAAGUUUUAUUUCCUUUUCCA
rnacentral:snRNA from 1 species